UGUUGAUGAAAGAGAAAGAGGCUUGUUAUUUAAAUUUGAGGUGCUCAAUAGCUUGCUAAGAGACGAUCGAAGGUUUUUAUUGCUAGAGGAAUUUUUUGUUGAAACGGAAUAGGUCUCAACUUCUGGUUCAGAUGUUGCGGAUACAAAUGUCGAAGAUACAGAAGGAGUAGAACAUCUAGGAGAACUUCUAAAAAAUUUAGAGGAGCUUAAAAGAGAAGGAUCAUGAUCUCGUAAUGAUGAAGUUGAAUCAUGCAGAUUUUCUCUCGUAUGCUGCAGAGAUGAAGAAGAUGUCCAUGAGUAGAAUUUUUUUAAAGAGCUAGUGAGUUUAAGGGAUGAAGCUUUUUGUUUAGACGACGCAAUAUACGAAGCUGAAUUUGGAUCCGAGGGCAAGUCAGAUGAGGAAGAAGAAGACACGGCAUGAUCUAAGGCAGGUAACUUUAAUAGGGGAACUAAAGAUGACGGCGAUAAACGAUCUGAAGGAGUAAAUGGUUCAUUGAUAGCAGAGUCAAUUCUUGCAUACAAAUGAGGCUUUUCGCCCGUAAGACUGGAGGGGUUUUCAGGAAUAGAAGGUUCUUGGGAUGAAGGGAAGAAGGAAGCGGAAUGGCGUUGAGAUAAUUUUGUAUUAGCUAAUACAGGAUCCAAACCAUGCUCACGUAAAAGUUCACGAAAGACGUACUCUCUGGAUUCGAAAUGAAACUUUAGAUCAGAGAUAAACGAAUCACGUUCAGCGACAUCUUUAGCCAAUUGGCGCAAUAAGUUUACUGCACCAUGUUUUUCUAUUAGUCUUUCAAUUGAAGCGUCAGGUACAAGAUGUAAACUACCAGGGAUGGAAUGAAGAGAUUCUUGAUUACAUUCCACAAACAAGGGAGCCGAAGAUUUACUAUUUUCCAAAAGAUCGCAAGGGGUUAUGUCUACUUUAGAUGGCAUUGAGUCUAUCCCUGUAGCGACACUUCCACUAGCAAUGGGCUUCGUGGGAGCGGAAGAAAGGUAAACUGAAGAGUCAGAAACAGAUGGUUGCAUUCCAAAACAAAUGAAUAAGGGGAAGAGAAGCAGAAUCAAAAUAUAACCUUCCGAAAUAUAAGAACGGACGAAUGGCUAAAAUUCAACAAAACCAAGAAAAUAUGUAAAA